AAGAUUAAUACCGCAUAAGAUUGUAGUAUCGCAUGAUAUAGCAAUUAAAGGAAGCAAUCCGCUAUAAGAUGGACCCGCGUCGCAUUAGCUAGUUGGUGAGGUGAUGGCUCACCAAGGCGACGAUGCGUAGCCGACCUGAGAGGGUGAUCGGCCACAUUGGGACUGAGACACGGCCCAGACUCCUACGGGAGGCAGCAUG
rnacentral:rRNA from 1 species